rnacentral:misc_RNA from 1 species
AUUUUGCGUAGGCUUGACCAUCCUAAUGUGGUAAAACUUGAGGGUCUAGUUACAUCAAGAAUGUCUUGCAGUUUGUACCUUGUAUUUGAGUACAUGGAGCAUGAUUUAGCUGGGCUUGCCUCACAUCCUGGUCUGAAGUUUACAGAGCCACAGGUGAAAUGUUACAUGCAACAACUUUUAGAGGGACUCGAUCACUGCCACAGCCGUGGUGUUCUGCAUCGUGACAUAAAAGGUUCCAACUUAUUAAUCGACAACAAUGGUAUCUUAAAAAUUGCAGACUUUGGUCUAGCAAGUUUUUAUGAUCCAACUCAUGUUCAACCACUCACAAGUCGUGUUGUAACACUUUGGUACCGUCCUCCGGAGCUUCUUCUGGGAGCCACUUGCUAUGGGAUUGCUGUUGAUUUAUGGAGUACAGGUUGCAUACUUGCUGAACUAUAUGCUGGCAAGCCUAUUAUGCCUGGAAGAACUGAGGUGGAGCAGCUGCAUAAAAUUUUCAAGCUGUGCGGCUCACCUUCUGAGGAUUAUUGGAAAAAAUCAAAAUUGCCUCAUGCAACUAUCUUUAAGCCUCAACAACCUUAUAGACGCUGUGUUGCAGAAACAUUUAAGGAGUUCCCUGCGCCAGCUUUAGCACUUAUGGAGACCCUGCUUUCUAUUGACCCUGUAGAUCGUGGUACUGCAGCUUCUGCUCUGAAGAGUGAGUUCUUUACAACAGAACCACUUCCUUGUGAUCCUUCAAGCCUGCCCAAGUAUCCUCCCAGCAAAGAGUUUGAUGCAAAACUACGGGAUGAGGAAGCUAGAAGACGAGGAGCAACAGGAGGCAAGGGCCAGAGACCUGAUAUUGAAAGAAGAGGAGCAAGGGAAUCCCGAGCAAUCCCAGCACCUGAUGCCAAUGCUGAAUUAGUCAUAUCAAUGCAGAAAAGGCAAGGUCAGUCAAAUUCUAAGAGCCGGAGUGAGAAAUUUAACUCUCAUCCAGAAGAGGUGGCUUCCGGUUUUCCAAUAGAUCCACCUAGACCAUCACAAGCUGUGGAAUCGAGUAUCGAUCCACAGGGGCUUCAGCAUAGGAGAGCCUCUCAUUCUGGGCCAUUGGCCCACCGUGCUGCUUGGGCAAAGGCUGGUAGAAACCUAGAUGAUGCUCCAAAGGUUUCUACUGGGGCUGACUUGUCAAAUUUGUCAGGCUUAGUGGCAGUAAGAAGGAGUUUAUUAUCUGAAGACUGCAGAGAAAGGUCUGGCCCACCACAGCCAGAAGUUCCAAAACUAAUGGCAAGGUUUCCAGGAUCCUUCAAAGAAGGCUCAGAAUCCCUUCUUCGGGAUCAAAAGCAUCACUCACAGGGCAUUGCUGGUUCUCAUCAAAAAGAAGAUGGAGGAAUAAGCAAUAAUGAUCCAGCCCCUGUUGGCUAUGGGUCAAAGGAUCACAAAAU